CUCAUCACAUCCUGGAGCUGAAGAAGGUUCCAAGGGUUCGGCUGUUCGCCGAUUAAAGUGGUACGUGAGUUGGGUUUAGAACGUCGUGAGACAGUUUGGUUCCUAUCUUCUAUAGAUAUUUUGAAAAAUGAAAGAAUCUAACUCUAGUACGAGAGGACCGAGAAGGGUAAAUCACUGGUGUAUCGGUUGUUUAAUAGGCAUCGCCGAGUAGCUAAAUUUAUUUUGGAUAAUUACUGAAAGCAUCUAAGUAAGAAACCAUUCUUAAAAAUUUUUCAUAUGAAAACUAGUAAAAGACUAUUACAUUGAUAGGUUUUAAGUGUAAGUAUCGUAAGGUAUUCAGCUUAAAAAUACUAAAAGUUUCAAAAUUUUAAAUA
rnacentral:ncRNA from 1 species